rnacentral:rRNA from 1 species
GGCAGCCUACCAUGCAAGUCGUAACAAGGGUAACUGAGUCUUGCUCCGUGUGUUGACGACCGGCGGACGGGUGAGUAAUGUCUGGCCAACUGCCUGAUGGAGGGGGAUAACUACUGAAAACGGUAGCUAAUACCGCAUAGCGUCACCCGACCGGAGAGGGGGACCUUCGGGCCUCUUGCCAUCACAUGUGCCCAGAUGGGAUUAGCUAUAACGAGGGGUAAUAGGCUCACCUACGCCACGAUCCCUAUCUGGACUGAAAGGAUGACCAUCCUCACUGGAACUGAGACACAGUCCCGACUCCUACGCGAGGCAGCAGUGGGGAAUAUUGCUCAACGGGCGCGAGCCAGAUGCAGCCAUGCCGCGUGUGUGAGAAAGGCCUUCGGUUUGUAAUGCACUUUCUCUGAUGAUGAAGGUGAUCAGCUUAAUAUCUUCUUCGGUUGACGUUACUCGCAAAAUAAGCACCGGCUAACUCCGAGCCACCAGCCGCGGUAAUACGGAGGGUGCAAGCGUUAAUCGUAGUUACUGGGCAUAGAGCGCACGCAGGCGGUUUGUUAAUUCAUAUGUGAAAUCCCCGGGCUCAACCUGGGAACUGCAUUUGAAACUGGCAAGCGAGAGUCUCGUAGAGGGGGGUAGAAUUCCAAGUGUAACGGUGAAAUGCGUAAAGAUCUGGAGGAAUACCGGUGGCCAAUGCGGCCCGCUAGACUAAGACUGACGCUCAAGUGCGAAAACGUGAGGAGCAAACAGGAUUACAUACCCUGGUAGUCCACGCUGCACACCAUGUCCAUUUGGAGGUUGUGCCCUUGAGGCUUNCCUUCCGGAGCUAACGCGUUAAAUCGACUGCCUGGUGGAGUACGGCAGCAAGGUUGAAACUACAUAUGAUUUAACGGAGGCCCGCACACCCGGUGGAAUCAUGUGGUUUAAUUCUAUGCAUCGCAAACAAACCCUUACCAACUUUUCGACGUCUGUAGAACUUUCUAAAAAAUCCUAUUGGUUGCCUUCUGCCACCUCUGAGAACAGGGUGCUGCAUGGAUACAGUCACCUCUUGUUUCUGAAAUGUUGGGGUUAUUUCCUCCAACCACCCCCACCCCUUCAUCCCUUGUU